rnacentral:rRNA from 1 species
GACGAACGCUGGCGGCGUGCUUAACACAUGCAAGUCGAACGGAAAGGCCCCUUCGGGGGUACUCGAGUGGCGAACGGGUGAGUAACACGUGAGUAACCUGCCCUUGACUUCGGGAUAACUUCAGGAAACUGGGGCUAAUACCGGAUAGGAAUCCUUGCUGCAUGGUGGGGGUUGGAAAGCUUCGGCGGUUUUGGAUGGACUCGCGGCUUAUCAGCUUGUUGGUGGGGUAGUGGCUUACCAAGGCUUUGACGGGUAGCCGGCCUGAGAGGGCGACCGGCCACAUUGGGACUGAGAUACGGCCCAGACUCCUACGGGAGGCAGCAGUGGGGGAUAUUGCACAAUGGGCGGAAGCCUGAUGCAGCAACGCCGCGUGCGGGAUGACGGCCUUCGGGUUGUAAACCGCUUUCAGCAGGGGCGAAGCUUGUGGUGACGGUACCUGCAGAAGAAGCACCGGCUAACUACGUG